AGGCCCAGACAGCCAGGAUGUUGGCUUAGAAGCAGCCAUCAUUUAAAGAAAGCGUAAUAGCUCACUGGUCGAGUCGGCCUGCGCGGAAGAUGUAACGGGGCUAAACCAUGCACCGAAGCUGCGGCAGCGAACGUAUCACCCAAGACAACUUUACGGAGUUGACGAUUGACGGAGCGAAGCGACGUCAAAGCGUUCAUUAAAGUCGAGUUGGCUUAGGGAUACGUUCGUUGGGUAGGGGAGCGUUCUGUAAGCCUGUGAAGGUGGCCUGUGAGGGUUGCUGGAGGUAUCAGAAGUGCGAAUGCUGACAUAAGUAACGAUAAUGCGGGUGAAAAACCCGCACGCCGGAAGACCAAGGGUUCCUGUCCAACGUUAAUCGGGGCAGGGUGAGUCGACCCCUAAGGCGAGGCCGAAAGGCGUAGUCGAUGGGAAACAGGUUAAUAUUCCUGUACUUGGUGUUACUGCGAAGGGGGGACGGAGAAGGCUAUGUUAGCCGGGCGACGGUUGUCCCGGUUUAAGCAUGUAGGCGGAGGUUCCAGGUAAAUCCGGUACCUUAUUAACGCUGAGGUGUGAUGACGAGGCACUACGGUGCUGAAG
rnacentral:rRNA from 1 species